rfam:Oryza rufipogon genomic scaffold, chr02
CUAAAAUAAAUACAUACAGUUUUAUACAUCAAUGUUUGAGCUUUCGUCUUAUUUAAAAUCUUUUUAUGAUUAUAAUUUCUAUUGCUAUUAGAUGAUAAAAUAUGAAUAGUAUUUUAUGUGUGACUAAAUAUUUUUAAAUUUUUUAUAAAUCUUUCAAAUAAGACAUACGGUUAAAUGUUAGACAUAGAUAUUUACGGCUGCACUUAUU